rnacentral:lncRNA from 1 species
AGACCCCAAGAGGUGAGGAGGGGAUGGGGCCCCGAGGGGAGGGGUCACCGCCAGAACCCUGCUAACGGAUACAGACCCUGCCUCUCCCGUGCCGGGCGCCCGGCGCCCACCCCGCCCCUGCGCGCAGCGCCGUCGAGCGGCCGGCGGGGCGCUGUCCUCCGCCCCGACGGCGCCGCGCAGGCAGCCCGCCCGCCCUCGCUCCGCUGCGUGGGCCGCAGCCGUCGGGCCGCGGGCCUGCUCCUUCCGCCCUGUUUCCGCCCUGCCCCGUCGCCUUCCGGCCGCUUCCCACCUGCUGCCCUCCAUGUUGUUUGCCUGACCCUUGCUCCGUCCGCCGCCGUCGCGCCCGCACGUCCCCCGCUGGAGGCUUCCUGGGGUCGCCCGCGGCGUCCCUGCUGCCCGGUGAGGUUUGGCCGUCGCCGUCGUUUUCGCUUGGGUUGUGCGUGGGGACGGGCCUCGAACUUUCCCGCGCCGUCGCCCGGGUCGUCGCGUGUCCCGCCGGGCCCGGUUGGCGUGUCGGGGUGUGGGUGGUGCGGGGCUGCGUGGGUAUGGGUGCGGGCUGCCGGGUCGUCGCGUGUCCCGCCGGGCCCGGUUGGCGUGUCGGCUUGUGGGUGGUGCUGGUCGCCCGGGUCGCCGCGUGUCCCGCCGGGCCCGGUUGGCGUGUCGGGGUGUGAGUGGUGCGGGACUGUGCGGGUGCGGGUUGCCGGGUCGCUGCGUGUCCCACCGGCCCGGUUGGUGUGUUGGGUUGUGAGUGGUGCGGGGCUGUGCGGGUACGGGUGCGGGUCGCCCGGGUCGCCGCGUGUCCCGCCGGGCCCGGUUGGCGUGUCGGGGUGUGGGUGGUGCGGGGCUAAGCGGGUGCGGGUGCGGGUCGCCCCGGUCGCCGCGUGUCCCGCCGGGCCCGGUUGGCGUGUCGGGGUGUGGGUGGUGCGGGGCUGCGCGGGUAGCGGUGCGGAUACGCGCGCUGACUCCGCUGGGCCCUGGAGGUCCGAGUGGGGGAUCUGGGCUGCUGUGAAGCCAGCCGCGCGCUCCGGGCCGACCCCAGGCAUGGCUGCUCCCGGAGAGUUGUGCGGCCCCGGGUUUGGCGCUGUGUGGACGUGA